UACGUAGGGUGCGAGCGUUGUCCGGAAUUAUUGGGCGUAAAGAGCUUGUAGGCGGUUUGUCGCGUCUGCUGUGAAAAUCCGGGGCUCAACCCCGGACUUGCAGUGGGUACGGGCAGACUAGAGUGUGGUAGGGGAGACGUGGAAUUCCUGGUGUAGCGGUGAAAUGCGCAGAUAUCAGGAGGAACACCGAUGGCGAAGGCAGGUCUCUGGGCCGAUACUGACGCUGAGGAGCGAAAGCGUGGGGAGCGAACAGG
rnacentral:rRNA from 1 species